GAUGAACGCUAGCGGCAGGCUUAACACAUGCAAGUCGAGGGGUAUAGUUCUUCGGAGCUAGAGACCGGCGCACGGGUGCGUAACGCGUAUACAAUCUACCUUUUACAGAGGGAUAGCCCCAGAGAAAUUUGGAUUAAUACCUCAUAGUAUAGCAGUUUCGCAUGAAACCACUAUUAAAGUCACAACGGUGAAAGAUGAGCAUGCGUCCCAUUAGCUAGUUGGUAAGGUAACGGCUUACCAAGGCAACGAUGGGUAGGGGUCCUGAGAGGGAGAUCCCCCACACUGGUACUGAGACACGGACCAGACUCCUACGGGAGGCAGCAGUGAGGAAUAUUGGUCAAUGGACGCAAGUCUGAACCAGCCAUGCCGCGUGCAGGAUGACGGUCCUAUGGAUUGUAAACUGCUUUUGUACGAGAAGAAACAACAAUUACGUGUAAUGUCUUGACGG
rnacentral:rRNA from 1 species